UGUAGAUGAUGAUGAUCAUGACCAUGAAAUGAUGAUACUGAUUUUAUGAGACUGAUAC
rnacentral:snoRNA from 1 species